UAGGUCUGCACUCCUCCCCAGCUGCCCCCUUCUGAGCUGGGUUGAUCCCUUUUUAAUCCUAUCUUCAUUUGGAGCAUGCUCUGCAGGGCUGAAGGGAUGGGGCUAGCUGGUCCCCAUGUAGUCCUUUAACCCCUUCCAUCCCAGGGUGAAGUGUGAAUACCCCAUACACUCGGAUAAAACUUUGCACUUUUAAAGCACCUUUCAACUGAGGAUCUCAUCAUGUUUUACAAAUUGCAACUACUUCAUUAAGCCUCUCUGUAUGCCUUUCUGGAAGGGCUCAGAGAACUUUAGGGGAUGACCUUGAAUAGUCUCUAGGAAGAGUCGGAGGAUGUGUAAUUACCCACUGGUGUGAUUCUUCUGAUGGAAGCAAUGGGACCUGCAUCUGAAAGGCCUUUUCUUCCAGCCAAGAGCUGACUGAAUGGAUUCACUUCCCUACAAAGCAUCUCAACAUUGGUCCAGAGCAGGAAAAGAGCUGCCCCUGUAAACUGCACGCUUGCCAUCUCUGCCUGAUAACAUGGAUCCUGUACUGCUCUCCACUCUUGUGAAGAGCAUUAUGAACACAACAUGGCUGAUCCUGCAGUAUUUCAUGAGCUGUAAUCUGAAAAAGAAUCUGUGAUGUCUGCCAUUCUGUGUGCCAUGGAAAGAAACAAUUCAAGAUUGAUAUUGGCAUUCACGGAGCAGCUGCACAUGGUGGACCAUCACCAUCAGGAUUGGGAAACAAGCUCUGAGUGGUUGGUUCGCAUUGUGAUGCAGUUAUGAAAUGAAAAGCAGUGGCUGCAGAACUUUCAGAUUUGCAAAGUCACCUUCUUGGAACUGUGUGUGGAACUGGCCUCUACACUGUGGCGCAAGGACACCAAAAUGAAAGCUGCCCCCAUGGUGGAAAAGCGAGUGGCGAUCGCUCUGUGGAAGCUAGCAACUCCAGACUGCUACUGGUCAGUUGUGAAACAGUUUGGAGUUGGAAAGUCCACUGUGGGGGUUGUGGUGAUGCAAGUAUGUAGGGCCAUUAAUCGCCUCCUGCUACAAAGGACUGUGACUCUGGGCAAUGUGCGGGAAAUAGUGGGUGGCUUUGCGGCAAUAGGAUUCCUUAACUGCAGCACCUUGAUAGAUAGCAUGCAUAUCCCAAUUUUGGCCCCAGACCAUCUUGCGAUUAAAUACAUCAAUAGAAAGGGCUAGUUCUCUAUGGUAUUGCCAGCGCUGGUGGAUUACUGGGGUCAUUUCACUCACAUCAAUGUGCGGUGGUCAGGGAAGGUGCAUGAUGAUGGCAUCUUUAGGAACACUGCCUGUAUAGAAAGCUGCAUGCAGGGAUUUUCUUUCCAGAUCAGAAGAUUCUAAUAGGGGAUGUGGAAAUGCCCUUUGUGUUCCUGGGAGACCUAGCCUACCCUUAUUCCCAUGGCUCAUGAAAUCUUACAACCGGAAACCUUGACAGCAGCAAGGAGCGCUUCAACAACAGGCUCAGCAGAUGCAGAAU